AAAGUCGUAACAAGGUCUCCGUUGGUGAACCAGCGGAGGGAUCAUUACCGAGUUUUCAACUCCCAAACCCACUGUGAACAUAUACCAUUUGUUUAUUCGUUGCCUCGGCGGGUUCUACCCCCUGGAGACAGGGCGGCCAGCCCCCGCCGGCGUAACACCAAAAACCCUGAAUGUGUACCCGUUACACGGCAGUAUUACUCUGAGUCACAUCAUUUUAAAUGAAUCAAAACUUUCAACAACGGAUCUCUUGGUUCUG
rnacentral:misc_RNA from 1 species